rnacentral:rRNA from 1 species
GACGAACCGUGCAAACGUUGUUCGGAAUCACUGGGCUUAAAGGGCGCGUAGGCGGGCAAGCAAGUCGAAGGUGAAAUCCCACGGCUCAACCGUGGAAGUGCCCCCGAUACUGCUUGUCUUGAGGGAGAUAGGGGCGUGCGGAACUUCCGGUGGAGCGGUGAAAUGCGUAGAUAUCGGGAGGAACACCAGUGGCGAAGGCGGCGAUCUGGGAAGAUACUGACGCUGAGGUGCGAAAGCGUGGGGAGCAAACAGG